rnacentral:rRNA from 1 species
UGGGGAAUAUUGGACAAUGGGCGAAAGCCUGAUCCAGCAAUGCCGCGUGGGUGAAGAAGGUCUUCGGAUUGUAAAUCCCUUUCGGCGGGGACGAUGAUGACGGUACCCGCAGAAGAAGCUCCGGCUAACUUCGUGCCAGCAGCCGCGGUAAUACGAAGGGGGCUAGCGUUGCUCGGAAUGACUGGGCGUAAAGGGCGCGUAGGCGGUUCGUACAGUCGGAUGUGAAAUUCCUGGGCUUAACCUGGGGACUGCAUUCGAUACGUGCGGGCUUGAGUGUGGAAGAGGGUUGUGGAAUUCCCAGUGUAGAGGUGAAAUUCGUAGAUAUUGGGAAGAACACCGGUGGCGAAGGCGGCAACCUGGUCCAUUACUGACGCUGAGGCGCGAAAGCGUGGGGAGCAAACA